GACGACAUUAGACGAAUCAUCUGGAAAGAUGAAUCAAAGAAGGUAAUAAUCCUGUAGUCGAAAAUGUUGUCUCUCUUGAGUGGAUCCUGAGUACGACGGAGCACGUGAAAUUCCGUCGGAAUCUGGGAGGACCAUCUCCUAAGGCUAAAUACUCUCUAGUGACCGAUAGUGAACCAGUACCGUGAGGGAAAGGUGAAAAGCACCCCGGAAGGGGAGUGAAAUAGAACCUGAAACCGUGUGCUUACAAGUAGUCAGAGCCCGUUAAUGGGUGAUGGCGUGCCUUUUGUAGAAUGAACCGGCGAGUUACGAUUUGAUGCAAGGUUAAGCAGUAAAUGUGGAGCCGUAGCGAAAGCGAGUCUGAAUAGGGCGUUUAGUAUUUGGUCGUAGACCCGAAACCAGGUGAUCUACCCUUGGUCAGGUUGAAGUUCAGGUAACACUGAAUGGAGGACCGAACCGACUUACGUUGAAAAGUGAGCGGAUGAACUGAGGGUAGCGGAGAAAUUCCAAUCGAACCUGGAGAUAGCUGGUUCUCUCCGAAAUAGCUUUAGGGCUAGCCUCAAGUGAUGAUUAUUGGAGGUAGAGCACUGUUUGGACGAGGGGCCCCUCUCGGGUUACCGAAUUCAGACAAACUCCGAAUGCCAAUUAAUUUAACUUGGGAGUCAGAACAUGGGUGAUAAGGUCCGUGUUCGAAAGGGAAACAGCCCAGACCACCAGCUAAGGUCCCAAAAUAUAUGUUAAGUGGAAAAGGAUGUGGCGUUGCCCAGACAACUAGGAUGUUGGCUUAGAAGCAGCCAUCAUUUAAAGAGUGCGUAAUAGCUCACUAGUCGAGUGACACUGCGCCGAAAAUGUACCGGGGCUAAACAUAUUACCGAAGCUGUGGAUUGUCCUUUGGACAAUGGUAGGAGAGCGUUCUAAGGGCGUUGAAGCAUGAUCGUAAGGACAUGUGGAGCGCUUAGAAGUGAGAAUGCCGGUGUGAGUAGCGAAAGACGGGUGAGAAUCCCGUCCACCGAUUGACUAAGGUUUCCAGAGGAAGGCUCGUCCGCUCUGGGUUAGUCGGGUCCUAAGCUGAGGCCGACAGGCGUAGGCGAUGGAUAACAGGUUGAUAUUCCUGUACCACCUAUAAUCGUUUUAAUCGAUGGGGGGACGCAGUAGGAUAGGCGAAGCGUGCGAUUGGAUUGCACGUCUAAGCAGUAAGGCUGAGUAUUAGGCAAAUCCGGUACUCGUUAAGGCUGAGC
rnacentral:rRNA from 1 species